rnacentral:rRNA from 1 species
AGCGAACGCUAGCGGCAGGCUUAAUACAUGCAAGUCGUACGAAGUACUUCGGUACUUAGUGGCGAACGGGUGAGUAACACGUAGAUAACGUACCCCAAGGUGGAGGAUAACUCAGGGAAACCUGGGCUAAUACUGCACAUGUCCUUCGGGAUGAAAGGCUUCGGUUGCCUUGGGAUCGGUCUGCGGCCCAUUAUCUAAUCCUAGUUGGUAGGGUAACGGCCUACCAAGGGUACGAUGGGUAGCUGGUCUGAGAGGAUGAUCAGCCACACUGGGACUGAGACACGGCCCAGACUCCUACGGGAGGCAGCAGUAGGGAAUAUUGCGCAAUGGGGGAAACCCUGACGCAGCCAUGCCGCGUGUGUGAUGAAGGCCCUCGGGUCGUAAAGCACUGUCGGGAGGGACGAAGAUCUGACGGUACCUCGCAAGAAAGCACCGGCUAACUCCG